rnacentral:rRNA from 1 species
AGCGAACGCUGGCGGCAGGCCUAACACAUGCAAGUCGAACGAAGCCUUCGGGCUUAGUGGCGGACGGGUGAGUAACACGUGGGAACGUACCUUUUGGUUCGGAAUAACGCAGAGAAAUUUGCGCUAAUACCGGAUGAGCCCUUCGGGGGAAAGAUUUAUCGCCGAAAGAUCGGCCCGCGUUGGAUUAGGUAGUUGGUGUGGUAAAGGCGCACCAAGCCUACGAUCCAUAGCUGGUCUGAGAGGAUGAUCAGCCACACUGGGUCUGAGACACGGCCCAGACUCCUACGGGAGGCAGCAGUGGGGAAUCUUGCGCAAUGGGCGAAAGCCUGACGCAGCCAUGCCGCGUGAAUGAUGAAGGUCUUAGGAUUGUAGAAUUCUUUUACCAGGGACGAUAAUGACGGUACCUGGAGAAAAAGCCCCGGCUAACUUCGUGCCAGCCGCCGCAGUAAAAC